rnacentral:rRNA from 1 species
GUUUAGGUGAGGGCGACCUCGGCUGGAACGGAGAAGCUGGUCAAACUUGAUCAUUUAGAGGAAGUAAAAGUCGUAACAAGGUUUCCGUAGGUGAACCUGCGGAAGGAUCAUUAUAAUAGCGAGAGCUACAAUUGGGUGGAAGGAGCGAACAGCAAACAUAGUAACAAAACACAGUAAAAUCAAAACUUUCAACAACGGAUCUCUUGGUUCUCGCAUCGAUGAAGAACGCAGCGAAAUGCGAUAAGUAAUACGAAUUGCAGCCUUCGUGAGUCAUUGAAUCUUUGAACGCACAUUGCGCCCGCGGGCAUUCCCGCGGGCACGCCUGUUUGAGCAUGACAUCUCCCUCCACGGGUGUUGGGCAGUAGCCUGAAGAUGAUGAGUGGUGUGUGAUACGCAUUCGCACUGCUUUUGACGUUUUCUCAAAUCAGGUGGGACUACCCGCUGAACUUAAGCAUAUCAAUAAGCGGAGGAAAAGAAACCAACCGGGAUUGCCUCAGUAACGGCGAGUGAAGCGGCAAAAGCUCAAAUUUGGAACCGCUUUAUGCGGGUUGUAAUUUGAAGGCGUUUACAGGGACGG